rnacentral:rRNA from 1 species
ACUCCUACGGGAGGCAGCAGUGGGGAAUUUUCCGCAAUGGGCGAAAGCCUGACGGAGCAACGCCGCGUGAGGGAUGAAGGCCUCUGGGCUGUAAACCUCUUUUAUCAAGGAAGAAGAUCUGACGGUACUUGAUGAAUAAGCCACGGCUAAUUCCGUGCCAGCAGCCGCGGUAAUAC